AUACGUAGGGGCCGAGCGUUGUCCGGAGUUACUGGGCGUAAAGCGCGCGCAGGCGGUCGUGCGCGCCCGGCGUGAAAGCCCCCGGCUCAACCGGGGAGGGUCGUCGGGCACGGCACGACUUGAGGGCGGUAGGGGCCGGUGGAAUCCCCGGUGUAGUGGUGAAAUGCGUAGAGAUCGGGGGGAACACCCGUGGCGAAGGCGGCCGGCUGGGCCGACCCUGACGCUGAGGCGCGAAGGCGUGGGGAGCGAACGGGAUUAGAUACCCCGGUAGUCCACGCAGUAAACGAUGCCGACUGGGCGUGGCGGCUGACACUCUCGAG
rnacentral:rRNA from 1 species